rnacentral:rRNA from 1 species
GAUGAACGCUGGCGGCGUGCCUAAUACAUGCAAGUCGAGCGAACGGACGAGAAGCUUGCUUCUCUGAUGUUAGCGGCGGACGGGUGAGUAACACGUGGAUAACCUACCUAUAGGACUGGGAUAACUUCGGGAAACCGGAGCUACUACCGGAUAAUAUUUUGAACCGCAUGGUUCAAAAGUGAAUGACGGUCUUGCUGUCACUUAUAGAUGGAUCCGCGCUGCAUUAGCUAGUUGGUAAGGUAACGGCUUACCAAGGCAACGAUGCAUAGCCGACCUGAGAGGGUGAUCGGCCACACUGGAACUGAGACACGGUCCAGACUCCUACGGGAGGCAGCAGUAGGGAAUCUUGCGCAAUGGGCGAAAGCCUGACGGAGCAACGCCGCGUGAGUGAUGAAGGUCUUCGGAUCGUAAAGCUCUGUUAUUGGGGAAGAACAGAUGUGUAAGUAACCGUGCACAUCUUGACGGUACCUAAUCAGAAAGCCCCGGCUAACUACGUG